UACGGGGGGGGCAAGCGUUGUUCGGAAUUACUGGGCGUAAAGGGCGCGUAGGCGGUUCGCUAAGUCGGAUGUGAAAACUCUGGGCUCAACCCAGAGCCUGCAUCCGAAACUGGCGGGCUAGAGUUCUGGAGGGGGUAGCGGAAUUCCUGGUGUAGCGGUGAAAUGCGCAGAUAUCAGGAGGAACACCGAUGGCGAAGGCAGCUCGCUGGGACGGUACUGACGCUGAGGCGCGAAAGCGUGGGGAGCAAACAGG
rnacentral:rRNA from 1 species